rnacentral:rRNA from 1 species
CCCUUAGAGUUUGAUCCUGGCUCAGAAUCAACGCUGGCGGCGUGCCUAACACAUGCAAGUCGAGCGAGAAAAGGGGAGCAAUCCCCUGAGUACAGCGGCGCACGGGUGAGUAACACGUGGGUAAUCUGCCCUGGAGUGGGGAAUAACACCGGGAAACCGGUGCUAAUACCGCAUACGAUAAUGAGGUCUGCGGACUUUGUUAUGAAAGGAGCAAUUCGCUCCAGGAGGAGCCCGCGGCUGAUUAGCUAGUUGGUGAGGUAACGGCUCACCAAGGCAACGAUCAGUAUCCGGUCUGAGAGGACGGUCGGACACACUGGAACUGAGACACGGUCCAGACUCCUACGGGAGGCAGCAGUGGGGAAUUUUUGGCAAUGGGGGAAACCCUGACCAAGCAACGCCGCGUGGGUGAUGAAGUCUCUUGGGACGUAAAACCCUUUCGACGGGGAAGAAACCGCAAGGUUGACGGUACCCGUAGAAGAAGCCCCGGCUAACUCCGUGCCAGCAGCCGCGGUAAUACGGGGGGGGCAAGCGUUGUUCGGAAUUACUGGGCGUAAAGGGUGCGCAGGCGGUCCGUUAAGUUGGAUGUGAAAACUCUGGGCUCAACCCAGAGCCUGCAUCCAAAACUGGCGGGCUAGAGUUCUGGAGGGGGUAGCGGAAUUCCUGGUGUAGCGGUGAAAUGCGUAGAUAUCAGGAGGAACACCGGUGGCGAAGGCGGCUACCUGGACAGAAACUGACGCUCAUGCACGAAAG